rnacentral:rRNA from 1 species
AGAGUUUGAUCAUGGCUCAGAUUGAACGCUGGCGGCAGGCCUAACACAUGCAAGUCGAGCGGAUGAGGGGAGCUUGCUCCCUGAUUUAGCGGCGGACGGGUGAGUAAUGCCUAGGAAUCUGCCUGGUAGUGGGGGAUAACGUUCCGAAAGGAACGCUAAUACCGCAUACGUCCUACGGGAGAAAGCAGGGGACCUUCGGGCCUUGCGCUAUCAGAUGAGCCUAGGUCGGAUUAGCUAGUUGGUGAGGUAAUGGCUCACCAAGGCGACGAUCCGUAACUGGUCUGAGAGGAUGAUCAGUCACACUGGAACUGAGACACGGUCCAGACUCCUACGGGAGGCAGCAGUGGGGAAUAUUGGACAAUGGGCGAAAGCCUGAUCCAGCCAUGCCGCGUGUGUGAAGAAGGUCUUCGGAUUGUAAAGCACUUUAAGUUGGGAGGAAGGGCUGCUGGUUAAUACCCUGCAGUUUUGACGUUACCAACAGAAUAAGCACCGGCUAACUUCGUGCCAGCAGCCGCGGUAAUACGAAGGGUGCAAGCGUUAAUCGGAAUUACUGGGCGUAAAGCGCGCGUAGGUGGUUUUGUAAGUUGGAGGUGAAAUCCCCGGGCUCAACCUGGGAACUGCCUCCAAAACUGCAUGACUAGAGUACGGUAGAGGGUGGUGGAAUUUCCUGUGUAGCGGUGAAAUGCGUAGAUAUAGGAAGGAACACCAGUGGCGAAGGCGACCACCUGGACUGAUACUGACACUGAGGUGCGAAAGCGUGGGGAGCAAACAGGAUUAGAUACCCUGGUAGUCCACGCCGUAAACGAUGUCAACUAGCCGUUGGAAUCCUUGAGAUUUUAGUGGCGCAGCUAACGCAUUAAGUUGACCGCCUGGGGAGUACGGCCGCAAGGUUAAAACUCAAAUGGAAUUGACGGGGGCCC